ACGGAGUAAGCCGAAAAUCCGAUAAAAAGUAGGCA
rnacentral:ncRNA from 1 species